rnacentral:rRNA from 1 species
UACGUAGGGGGCAAGCGUUGUCCGGAAUCACUGGGCGUAAAGGGUGCGUAGGCGGGUUUUUAAGUCAGAGGUGAAAUCCUGGAGCUCAACUCCAGAACUGCCUUUGAUACUGGAAGUCUUGAGUAUGGGAGAGGUGAGUGGAACUGCGAGUGUAGAGGUGAAAUUCGUAGAUAUUCGCAAGAACACCAGUGGCGAAGGCGGCUCACUGGCCCAUUACUGACGCUGAGGCACGAAAGCGUGGGGAGCAAACAGG